GUUGCGGUUAAAAAGCUCGUAGUUGGAUCUCGGCAGGUAGGGGGCGGUUCGUUUCUGACGGCACUGCCCCAUUUACCUGUGUUUUUGACGGAGGUCUCAGGGUGCUCUUUACCGAGUGUCCUGAUACGCCGUCAGGUUUACUUUGAAAAAAUUAGAGUGCUCAAAGCAGGCUACAAGCUUGAAUAUUUGUGCAUGGAAUAAUGGAAUAGGACGUCGUUUCUAUUUUUUUUGGUUUUCGGAAAUUGACGUAAUGAUUAAUAGGGACAGCCGGGGGCAUUAGUAUUCAGACGACAGAGGUGAAAUUCUUGGACCGUUUGAAGACUAACCACUGCGAAAGCAUUUGCCAAGAGUGUUUUCAUUAAUCAAGAACGAAAGUCAGAGGUUCGAAGGCGAUCAGAUACCGCCCUAGUUCUAACCAUAAACGAUGCUGACUAGCGAUCCGUAGCUGUUUUCUAUGUAGGCUCUACGGGAAGCUUCCGGGAAACCAAAGUUUUUGAGUUCCGGGGGAA
rnacentral:rRNA from 1 species